rnacentral:tRNA from 1 species
GCACUGGUGGCACAGUGGUUAAGUGUUUAGCUGCUAACCAAAAGGUCAGUGGUUCGAAUCCACCAGCUGCU